CCUACGGUAGUCUGCAGUGAGGAAUAUUGGUCAAUGGGCGCGAGCCUGAACCAGCCAAGUAGCGUGAAGGAUGACUGCCCUACGGGUUGUAAACUUCUUUUAUAAAGGAAUAAAGUGAGGCACGUGUGCCUUUUUGUAUGUACUUUAUGAAUAAGGAUCGGCUAACUCCGUGCCAGCAGCCGCGGUAAUACGGAGGAUCCGAGCGUUAUCCGGAUUUAUGGGGUUUACAGGGAGCGUAGAUGGGUUGUUACGUCAGUGGUCAAAUUGAGGGGCUCAACCCCUUCCCGCCAUUGAAACUGGCGCUCUGGAGUGGAAGAGAGGUAUGCGGAAUGCGUGGUGUAGCGGUGAAAUGCAUAGAUAUCACGCAGAACCCCGAUUGCGAAGGCAGCAUGCCGGCUUCCGACUGACGCUGAAGCACGAAAGCGUGGGGAUCGAACAGGAUUAGAUACCCGAGUAGUC
rnacentral:rRNA from 1 species